AUGGUGCGAGGCCUGCCAUGCCUCGACCAUGUGGAGCAGUUCUGCGACAUCUGCAUACUGACAAAGCAGAGACGACUCCCCUUUCCCCAACAGGCGAGUUUUCGGGCUAAGGAGAAGCUGGAGCUCGUGCACGGAGACCUGUGCGGCCCGGUGACGCCAGCCACACCAGGAGGUCGACGCUACUUCCUGCUGCUCGUCGACGAUCUCUCCCGCUACAUGUGGGUGAUGAUCCUCGGCAGUAAGGGAGAAGCGGCGGACGCCAUCAGGCGCGCGCAGGUUGGUGUGGAGGCGGAGAGCGGCCGCAAAUUGCGCGUGUUGCGCACUGACAACGGCGGCGAGUUCACGGCGGCUGAAUUCGCGUCGUACUGCGCCGAUGAGGGCAUCCAGCGCCACUACUCCGCGCCGUACAGCCCGCAGCAAAACGGCGUCGUCGAGCGGCGCAACCAGACGGUUGUGGGGAUGGCUCGGGCUCUCCUCAAGCAGAGAGGGAUGCCGGCUGUCUUCUAG
rnacentral:rRNA from 1 species